AGGACGAACGCUGGCGGCGUGCUUAACACAUGCAAGUCGAACGGUGAAGCCUUUCGGGGUGGAUCAGUGGCGAACGGGUGAGUAACACGUGAGUAAUCUGCCCUUGACUCUGGGAUAACUUCGGGAAACCGUGGCUAAUACCGGAUAUGACGCAUGGUCGCAUGGUCUGUGUGUGGAAAGAUUUAUUGGUCAGGGAUGAGCUCGCGGCCUAUCAGCUUGUUGGUGGGUAAUGGCCUACCAAGGCGACGACGGGUA
rnacentral:rRNA from 1 species